rnacentral:tRNA from 1 species
GCUCCAGUGGCGCAAUCGGUUAGCGCGCGGUACUUAUACGACAGUACAAAGGCGAGUAAUGCCGAGGUUGUGAGUUCGAUCCUCACCUGGAGCA